rnacentral:tRNA from 1 species
AUUUAUGAAAUAAAUUAUUAGUUUCGACCUAAUAAAAGAUUAUUAAUUUUAAUCCAUAAAUA